AAGCAAUUCUCUGCCUCAGCCUCCCGAGUAGCUGGGAUUACAGGUGCCUGCCACCACGUCAGGCUAAUUUUUGUAUUUUUAGUAGAGACGGAGUUUCACCAUCUUGCCCAGGCUGGUCUUGAACUCUUUACCUUGUGAUCCACCCGCCUCAGCCUCCCAAAGUGCUGGGAUUACAGGCAUGAGCCACCGUGCCCAGCCCACAACAUGAUGUUUUGAAGUAUACAUACACUGUGGGAUAGUUAAGUCUAGCUAAUUAACAAAUGUGUUACCUCACAUAGUUAUCAUUUUUGUACUGAGAACACUUAACAUUCACCAUCUUCUCAUUUUUAAAUAAUGUAAUCUAUCGUCAUUAACUAUAGUCACCAUGCUGUACAAUAGAUCUCUUGAACUUAUUUCUCCUAUCUAAUUGUAAUUAUAUAUCCUUUCAUCCACAGUCAUAUUGAUGAUUAUUUAGCAUAAAUUGUUAACAAAGAUCUUUUUCUAUUUUAGAACAGAUUGGAAGAAUGCGAAAUGUUAUUAGACACAGGCACAGCAUAGCAGUAGAAACAUCUUAACUGAGAACUUGGAACUGAAAGAGAAAGCAACCAACUUAAAGGGCAGACAAGACACAUGGUUAUGUAACACAGCAGUGGGUAUUCACAGUGAUGACACAAGACAAAACAAUUACAUUUUCAUUCUAAAAGUAAUUUUUAAGGAGGCAAGGGCAUUUAUAAAACAUUUUAGAAACUAUUUAAUAAAAAUGGUAAAAUUAAAGUGUUUGUUUAUGUACUCAACAAAUAUUUAUUUGGAAAGUGCAUGCCUGGGGGCACAUCUCGUUAAUGAGGUGAUCCUGUGUUUAGAACUGAAGGCAGUCCUCAUCCAUUCUCUCAAAAGGUGACCUUCUUUGUUCUUCUUAUAGCCUCACCACAUUUAAUUUUCAGAGGUUUUGACAUAAAUUAAAAACAUUCUUUGGUAGAUUGUAUUGUAUGAAAACAAUCUUCAAAAGUGUAAGCAUUGAUAUCUGGAAUAUCUGGGAAAAUGUACAAUAAAGACAUCUCUUCUGGUCUUUUACUCUCUGCUCUCCUCCUCUUGACAUGCCUCAAACACACCAAUCAUUUGCACUUGGGAAAUCAACCCUCACUAGCAAAUUACUCCUGCCAACAAAAUAACCCAAUCAGCAUGCAAAACUGGUAGCGAGCUGGGAGAGGGCGAUGAGAGUGGUGUUCACAUGGCUCCCUCUGUUUCCCUUUCCCCAGGUCUGGGCACACACUGUCAGUCAGUGGCCCCUGACUCAGAAAGAGGUUUGAUUUAAACCAUUUCAUUUUCUGCUCUCAGACUGGGAAUUUAUUUAAUAUGAAUGUCAUCAUUAUAACAAAACUCAACUGUAUUCUAGCAAAAAUUUGGCUGAUCUAUGAAGAAUAUUGGAAGGAGAAUCUGUGAACCCAAAAAUACUAGACCACUGCUUAUUCAGUUCUGCAAUUUUGUCACUUUAAUGGACUCUUCAGAGUGCCAAAUCACUAGUCCUACUGACUAUACAAAAAUUGGCCAUCAACAUGCCUGCCUCCAACAAAUUGUGUGUCUGUAACCAGCUAAUGAGCUGCAACAGAGCCUGGCCUUCAUUUUCAGCAAAUUAAGUUCAUCCCUCAUAGGAAUUGUGGUCUGGCUGUGGCACCGCUCCUAGGUAUGGGUGGGAUUUGUUUCUUCUAGCAGUUGUAGGUUAGCCACAUGGGUACGUGCUGUCGCACCACACAACAAAAUUUUCUCUAUAAUAACCAGUCUAAGUAGGCUUUUACCCCACAAAAGUAGAUCCCAUUUAAUUUACUUUGUGUUUAUAGCACUCCCUCUCAAACCGCACCAUUACAUGACAAACUCCAAAAGGAAACCCAAGCAGCUAUUUGGCUCCCUUAAUUAAUGAAGUCGCCCAGUAUGGAUAAUUCAGCCCUUGAGCUUCCCAGCACACAACUACUAAGAAAAGAGAAAGCCAGAAAGGGAAAUUGAAAUGCAGUCUCAGAUUGCGUUCUCUAAACAUGAAUAUGCCUUUGGGGGAAGACAGAAGAACAUGGAAGCCAUGUGAAAAAAACGGAUCCUAAGGUAUAAACAAAGUGCAGAUGAUUGUCGGCCAUGCUGCAGGGAUUUCUUGUUUGUCUUCUCAGUAGUGUUAGCUAAUUUUGUCUUCCAAUCCGCAAUUCCUUAUAGGACUUGGACGCUUUGAACCUCUCAGGACCCCUCAGAUUCUAGUACAUAAACUCACACAGAGUUUGUCCAUUAGUUUUAUUACUUAAGGGGAAUCUAGUGAGAAAGUGGUGUCAUGCAUUUUUCUGUAGAAACUAUUGUGUAGUAUUGUACUGUGAUGGAAAUACACAGAGACAUUGGAGAAAAUUCUCAGGCAGAAAUGAUGUUACUUUCGGACAAGUUAUGUGUGUACAUAUACGUUACAUUUAGCCUGAUUCUCCUGGGAAGCUCUUCUGCUGGACCUUCCCAUUGAACUCUGGGAUAUCCUGGAUACCAACAGGCAGCAGUGCCUCAUGUGCAGCAUCUCUGCAUUUGGAUCUUGAGCUGCUUUGAUAAGUUCCUCUGAUUAAAUGCAGUUGCACUAUCAUACCCUCUGAAAACUGCUGGUGGAAAUAUUAAAACAAUCACUCAGUUUCCCAUGUUACAAAUCCCCAGAUCUUAUUGCAUCGUGUAAAUAAGCUGCUUCCCUCCCACAAAAAGUAAGACACAGAGCUCUUAGAAACAACAAGAGUGCAACACUUCUGUGGGAAGCCUGAGAAAAGGUGCUCUGGUAGACGGAAUUCUAAGGUGCCCCUAAGAUUCCCUCCUUCCAGUGCAUAACCCCUUCUUGAGUAUGAGCAGGACAAGUGAAUAUGAUGAAAUAUCACUCUGGUGAUUUUGUUAUAUUAUAUGGCAGAAGGGAUUUCGCAGAUGUAGUUAAGGUCCCUAAUCAUUUCACUUUGACUUAAUCAGAGAGAGAUAAAUCUGGGUGAAACUGACUAGUCAGGUGAGCCCUUAAUAGAGAUCAGAAAGAUUGGAAGCACUAGAGAAAUUCUCCUGCUGUCCUGGAAGAAGUAGGUUGCUGUCCUGGAAGAAGUAAGUUUCUGUGUGGUGAGAGGGUCUAUGCAAGAGGUUGCAGGACAAAGACCUGAAGGCGGGUUCUAGCAGCUGAGUGUAGUCCCUAGCGAAUAGCUAGCAAGAGAAUAGGGUUAUUGAUCAUUUCUUUGUCUCAGUAUCUUUUCAUCAGUACCUAAUUUGCUUGUUUUAUUUUAGUUGUCAAUACCUGGUGAGAUCAAUCCUCAGAUCAAUGUCUAGCUCCCUUUAAAAAAAAAAAAAAAAAACUCUUGUAAUGCUAUGUUGAUGGUCAGACGAUUAGCUAUAUUAAAGAGAUGGCUUAAAAAUCAGAGUACAUUUCUGCAGAUUAUUGAAGGGAAUUUUUAUUUUAUCUCCCCUUUAUUUUUUAGGCUUUCAAUCUGUAUUUUACUAAGUUAGAUUUUACGGUGUUAUCUCAGGCUUACAUGAAGCCUAGUAACAUGCCCUUUAUAAAGCUAGCCUCAAGUUAGCAAAGGUCUGUAUAGUUACAGAAAUUUGAAGUUGAACAUCUAACAUUGAUUAUGCACUUAAAUUUAAAAUGCAGGAAUUCAAUAAAAUGAUCCAUUGACAAAUAUAAUGAGUGCCUUUUCUAAGCUCUAUAAAAGUUGCAUGUAGAAACAGUGAUUGCCUCCGAUUACCUUACAGUCUGAGACAACCACAGCACCUGGUAUAGCUGAAUGACAGGACACAUGUAAAAAGUGUUAACUAGCAACCAGAGAUAGCCUACAAUAAGAGCUCAGUGGGUAGUACAAAGCAUUGAAAAGAACAACUUUCAAGUCAAAAGAAUCAAGGUGAAGAGAAUGGAUACUCAUGCCCAUGUGAAUUUGCUGCCCCAAGUCUACUGGAGGAUCAAGCUGCAGGUUUCAAUAGCUAUAGCCUGAAGAAUCUCUGUAAUGAACUAAAACAAUCAGUAAAAGAUCAGUUGCAGUGGAAGACAUUAUACUCUAGAUUUUUCUAGUAUUAUUAAAUUUGAAAAUGAUUUAUUCCAAAUUUUAACUUAGCUUUUAAUUUUACUAGUGUCAAAAUGUUGUACUACUUUGGACAACUGAUUUUUCCAAUAGAGAGUCAAUAGCAUCUUUGCAGGGUGGUUUAAAUUUAAUAUAAGCAUUUUACCCAGAUGUAUUUUUUCCCUAGAUAGAUUUCAGAAGGGCAGUUUUGAACAUCUGGAGGCCUGAUUUAUUGGAGAUUGCAAAUGUACAGUGUAACAUAGCUGUGGAGAGAUCUGCCAAUCAAUAAUCCCAUUUAACACAAUUUAUGAAUUAUGUUGGUUUUCAAAAAGUUUUUUCUGCCGUGUUCAUUUUGAUCAUUUUACUCCUUCUUGUCGGGAAUUGGUCUACCUUAUCAAAGAAGACAAAAUUUUUAUAAUACUAAACCACCAGUCUGUGCUUAGAGGCAGGACGUCUUAGGAAAUCCUUUCCUCUCCUUUCUGACAUUAAUACAGUCAAGGCUGUCUUCUCUUAGUUGCUUUGUGAGGCAAAGGAAAAUAAAGGUGAUGAAAUGCUAGUCACUAAUUUGUACUCAAGCAAAAUAUUUGGUUGAGAGAGAACUUAAAAAUUUAACCACAACAAAACUUGUAAGAGUUUUUGUCUUAAAAAUAACUUAAUUCUCACAAUGGAUAUCUUUGGUGCCCUCAUUACAUCCCCUUGGCCACAUAUGCUUGUGGCCACAAUUGCAUUUCAUGGUUGGUUUCUUGUAAGCCCAGGCAUAACUUCUCUCAGGAUGGUGGUUUCCUAUCUUAAGCACUUGGUUGGUAUCUUUCAGCUUAUAUCCUCUGGGCUUUCUCAGCUAUGCUGGCAUUUCACCCGAGAAGAUCAGGAUUGUCAAUGCUGUCAUUGCUUUUACUGGAAUCCCCAGCACGAAUUGAAGGUACAAAGAAGCAAAUGCUAUCAAUUAACAUUCACAUGUGGUAGUUUACAGCUUAAUAAUUAUUUUGGGGGAAAUUAUUCAUAUUACUUUUAACACACAAUUACACCAUGGAAUGUACUUCAUUCAAUGUGAGAUGGGAAAUGUAAAGUAUAAAGAUCACUGGUUUUGUAGGGAACCUAUCAAUAAGGAAGUCAGGGCUUAGUUGAUGAUCGCCAUGGUCAUAGUACUGAAUUCAGAGAGAAAUGCAGAUCCCAUGAAUUCAGAACUCAGUGCACUUCAGAGUGAAAUGACUGUCUUGUAAAGCGAUUUUCAUAUUAAGACUAACUCUUGUUAAUACUGAUGCAAAAUCAUAUCCAACACCUUGUAUUUAUGUGAUGCUUCACUUUUCUAAAAGGAAUUUCAAUUAUUUGAUAUUGUCUCACUUUGCCACCUAGGCUGGAUGCAAUGCAACGGUAUGUUGAUCUUGGUUCACUGCAGCCUCAACCUCCUGAGCUCAUGUGAUCCUCCCACCUCAGUCCCCCACGUCGCUUGGAUUACAGGCCUGUGCCACCACACCUGGCUAACUUUUUUUGUAAUUUUUGUAGAGACAGGGUCUCACUAUGUUUCCCAUGCUGGUCUUUAAUGCCUGAGCUCAAGCCAUCCGCCUGCCUCGGCCUCCCAAAUUGCUGGGAUUACAGGCAUGAGCCACCAUGCCCAGCCUAAUUCUUCUAAAUCUUAUCCUAGUAAUUAAGCCAGAAUUUUUCUCUGCCAAGACCAAUAGAUGGACCAAGAAGUACUCAUCCUUGUAAACUUUCUUUGGAUAAAUUGCUUACAUAUAAUAAAUUCAGAGUUAAGGGGCCCUGCAAGAAGAAUUUUUUAAGGUCUAAACACUUAAGAGUGGUCCUGUCCAUCUGAUCAUUGAUGUAUUCUUAGGUACCCCAAAAUAAAAUGAAUAACUAAUAAAUUGUAUAAUAUAACAGGAUCUAAGCACUAAAAAAAAGUGGAAUGGGGCUGAGAGUUGAUUUUCAUUUGGCAGCUGCUAGACAUGAUCUUGGACUCUCAAGGUAUUCCUGGCCACCAGGUAAGACAAGUAAAGUUAUGAUGCAAGCCACAAAUAUGACAAUCCCUCAAGAUGCAUUGUUCAGAUGACACUUUCAAUUUUAACUACAGUAGAGCCCAACCUCACAUUUCUACGGAGGUUUCAGCAUUUUCUUAACUCAUUUUCUGUUGCAUUGAUACCACAAUGUGUGCUCCAUAUGUGAAAGUAAAGUUAAGCUAUUGAUAUUAUUUUGGAAUUUUUUUCACUUUUAACCUAACUUUAAACCAUGUGCUUUAUUUUUCUCUUCCAGCCUAGCAGGAGUGAAGACCAAAAGACAACUAUCAUGUUUGGGAUCACUUUUCCAACAAGGAGGUUUCUGAAAGACAUGACAUUUUCAUUGGAAGUCUCACAGUUAAAGAAAUAUCACUGAAAACACAUUAGACUAACAGUAGGCCCAGCUAGAUUCUAUAGCCUUGGACAAUUUUGGAUGGGCAAAGCAAGGCAAUUCGUUGGGCCUCAGUUUCCUCAUUCAUAAAUUGAGGCUGAACUAAGUUAUUGGAGGGGUCUUUUCUGUUCCAAAACUUGUGAGACAAAGUCCUUCAGAUAAUCAUUUAUAUUUUCUCAGCCACUGCAGGCUUGGUUUCAAGACUGUGAUCCACUAAGGUCAGGAGAUCGAGACCAUCCUGGCUAACAUGGUGAAACCCCGUCUCUACUAAAAAUACAAAAAAUUCACUUGGUGUGGUGGCCGGCGCCUGUAGUCCCAGCUACUCAGGAAGCUGAGGCAGGAGAAUGGCCUAGUUCCGACUGUGUUGCCCUCUCCUUCAGCUACAGUUACAGUUAUAGUGCUUUCUAGAUUCUGGGAACUCCUCCCUUUCCUGCUCCUUCAGGCCUAGGAAUGGUAAUACUUCCUAAUUGUUGCCAAGUCUAGUGUAUUUUACAGUCCUCUAUUUUUCCGUUUUAACCUUACUGUUAUCUGAGUAGGUCAUCUCCUUCCUGCCAAGUCAUUAACUGGUACAGGAGGGAGAAGGAG
rnacentral:lncRNA from 1 species